UGCCUCAGUAACGGCGAGUGAAGCGGCAAAAGCUCAAAUUUGAAACCCUCGGGAUUGUAAUUUGAAGAUUUGGCAUUGGAGAAAGCUAACCCAAGUUACUUGGAAUAGUACGUCAUAGAGGGUGACAACCCCGUCUGGCUAACCGUUCUCCAUGUAUUGCCUUAUCAAAGAGUCGAGUUGUUUGGGAAUGCAGCUCAAAGUGGGUGGUAAACUCCAUCUAAAGCUAAAUACUGGUGAGAGACCGAUAGCGAACAAGUACUGUGAAGGAAAGGUGAAAAGAACUUUGAAAAGAGAGUGAAAUAGUAUGUGAAAUUGUUGAUAGGGAAGGAAAUGAGCGGAGAGUGGUUGAGGUUUCARCCUYCCYUUGGGAUGGUGUAUUGCCGACGCCGAGUCAUUGUCCGCGAGACGAGAAAAACAAACGGGUUGCAUUCAUGCUUCUCACCUUUUUCUCCCACUGCAGUCAACGACAUAAUCCGCCCAUUUCACCCGUCUUGAAACACGGACCAAGGAGUCUAAUGGAUAUGUGAGUGUUAGGGUGCCAAACCCCAGCGCGCAAUGAAAGUGAAUGAUUCGUUCAGAAUCGACCGAACUUGAUUUUUAUGACAGUUUUGAGUAAACACAUCCAUUGGGACCCGAAAGAUGGUGAACUAUGCCUGAAUAGGGUGAAGUCAGAGGAAACUCUGAUGGAGGCUCGUAGCGGUUCUGACGUGCAAAUCGAUCGUAGAAUUUGGGUAUAGGGGCGAAA
rnacentral:rRNA from 1 species